ensembl:lncRNA
UCCUUCUGUUAUUGAUCUGCUCAGCAGUUGUGAUAAGGCAAACCCUUGUGCCACGAAAUGCAGCACUUUCAACUCAUCGACACAAGCACCGAGCUGCAGUAUUUUCUGUCAAAAAAAAAAAAAAUCAGGACAUCAGCACAUUUGUUUGUACUUGGAAAUCAACACCAUUUUUGAAUCUUCCCAGAGAAAUCGCCCUGCAAAGCAAUUUCCCACCCUGGAUUCAGCACUCCGCUUCUGCACCGUUCCCAAUCCCCGCUAAUCCUGGGCACAAAAAGUCCCUGUGGCCGACAGUGCUGCUGCGGGGCACACGUGGUGCUGCAGUCACAGGGAUGGCCCUGUUAUGGAGCUUUUCACCUUGAUAUGUUGCCUUGCAUCAAACAGAUAAUGUACAGGCCUCAAAAUACUCAUCCAAGGUCCUGCUGCCAUAUGCAGACCGUUCUGCAGCAAACAAGGGAUCUGUGGGCUGAACCCACGUAGCAUCUCAGCAGUGCACCUCCACAAUUGGAAGCUCAUCCCCAAAGCAGUACUGCUAAUUGCUUAAUGUUCUUCAACAGGUGGAAACUGCAAGUAAAUCAGCUUUUUGUUUGAUGGCAUUUACAGAAAGAUUCCCUGUGCAUGCUCGCAGCCGGCACUACCAUUCCUGACAGAUUAAUGGUGUGCGUUGCAGCGGCUCCUACAGACACCACUCAUAAGUCAGGUCCCUGCUGCAAGAAUAUCAGUGGCUC